rnacentral:rRNA from 1 species
AUGGUGUGGUCUACCAGCAAGCAACAAGGAGGAGAGCGAGAAGAAUCGAAGCAGCACAAAAUGGUAAAAGAGGUGAAGACACCUAUCUUCACGCAUCAGCUCUCCUUCCAUUCUCUUCCCCUUAACAAAGUCAAGAACAUCGAGGUCGACCGCUUGAGGCUGUCUUUCACGACGCCGAAAAAUUCUACGCUGGUCCCCGUUGAUUCCGGUUCUGAUGAAGAGAGUGACGAAGAUCGAGGCUGUUCGGACAUCGAUUCUAACAAGCCUAUGGACGAAGGGUUAGAUCACAUCUGUAGUGGUCUGCAUGCUAUUCCCCGGAAAAACAAAGCAAGAUCGGCCAAGAAAAGAUCCCAUAAGAUCAGCUCUAGGAAAUUCUACAAAAUAUUCAGUUGA